rnacentral:tRNA from 1 species
CGGUGAACGGGGUCCCGGCCACGGCCUCCAGUCCUGCGAAGACGGGGGCGUCGAGGUUGCUGCGGGUGAUCCUCAGGUCCCGGUCCAGGUUGACCGC